GCCAAAAAGGGCUCUUUCACUUGAACCCUAAUUGACGCAAAAUCACUCAAAUUCAAGAAGAAGAUCGAGACUUAACUAAAACCAAGCUGAAAUUGGUGAUCACUCAAGUUAGAGGAUCACAAGGCAAGGUGGUUGAAUCUUCAAGCGGACAAGUCGGAGUGGACGCGCGCUUGAAGGAAAAGCUUUGAAAGGUGAAUGUUAUGGGACUACGGAUGAAGAUCAAGCGAACAACACGAACCGAAUACACGUCCAAAUGAAGCUUCCGCAGUUGAUCUUGUUUUGUUUAUAAAAAGUGAAAUGUGUAAACACUUAUAACUUAGUUUUUGAAUGUUUUAAACAUGAAUGAAAGU